UACGGAGGGUGCAAGCGUUAUCCGGAUUUACUGGGUUUAAAGGGUGCGCAGGCGGAUAUGUAAGUCAGUGGUGAAAUCUCUGGGCUUAACCCGGAAAUUGCCAUUGAUACUAUAUAUCUUGAAUGCUGUGGAGGUAAGCGGAAUAUGUCAUGUAGCGGUGAAAUGCUUAGAUAUGACAUAGAACACCAAUUGCGAAGGCAGCUGACUACGGGAGCAUUGACACUGAGGCACGAAAAGCGUGGGGAUCAAACAGG
rnacentral:rRNA from 1 species